rnacentral:ncRNA from 1 species
UUUCCUUAAAUGCUAUUCAAUGAUUUUCUUUCGUGAUUGACAAAUGUAUAAAGACAAAACCGCGAAUGGCUCAUUAAAUUAGUUAUGGUUCCUUGGAUCGCACCUAAUUAGUUGCAUAACUGUGGAUAGUGUAGAGCUAAUACAUGCAGCAGAACUCCGAUCCUCUGGGGACGAGCGUUUUUAUUAGACCAAAACCAAUCGGACCUUGUUUCCGUAUUGCGUGGUGAUUCUGUACAAAUUUGGGCCGAUCGCACGGCUUCGUCCCGGCGACGUAUCUUUCAAGUGUCUGCGUUAUCAGUUGUCCAUGAAAGGUUACGCGCCUACCAUGGCAGUACUGACCAUGGUCGUAACGGGUAACUGAAAAUCAGGGUUCGAUUGCGGAGAGGGAGCCUGGAAAACGGCUGUCACAUCCAAGAAGGCAGCAGGAAAGCAAAUUACCCACUUCCAAGAACGGAAGGUAGUGGCGAAAAAUAAUGAUAGACUCUUUUGAAACCCCGUAAUCGUACUGAGCACACUCUGAAUCCUCUAACGAGGAUCAAUUGGAGGGCAAGUGUGAUGCCAACAGCCGCUGUAAUUCCAGCUCCAAUA